UUGUUUGUUUGUUUUGUUUUUUGUAGAAAUGUGGUUUCACUAUGUUGCCCAGGCUGGUCUCGAGCUCCUGGUCUCAACUGAUCCACCCUCAUCGGCAUCACAACAUGCUGGGAUUACUGGCAUGAACCAUCACGCCUGGCUGAAUAUUCAUUAUUUAAAAAGACAGAAAAGAUAUCUGGAGGAAGACAAGGAUAAUGAGGAGCCACUUGGUGGAUUCUCCUGUUUUGCCUAUCCCUAUUCUUUAGGGAAUAAUUUAUUUCUCCUUAAGGAAGCAUUUACUCCCCAUUCUAAGCCCAUCUUAGGUCUCAAAUUCAGCCAGAGCGUGGGGCACUUGAUCCAGGAAGGUCCAAUCACAGUCGUUAAUCCUUCUGGAAAAAGUGACUAAUUUGAUUUUAGUUUCAUGAUAACCAAAUCAAGUUAGGACUUCAGUUGGAACUACUGGAAACAUAAAACACUUUCCGCUGAGGUUGCUGAGUUGACAGGUGGUAAAUCCAGGGUUAAUAGGGACAUCAUGACCAUGAAGCCAGUGAAAAAUUAUCACAAAUAAGAGAUGAAAAGAUAUAGGUUGUUGAUGCCAUUGAAUGAGAACCUUGGUUCAGUCUUUCCUGAAGUAGUCUGAACUUUUCAGUUACGUGAAUCUACAAAUGCUCUUUAACUCAUUUGAGUUCAGUUUCUGCCAUUUGCCCACCAAAAGAUUUCUAGCUAAUUCAGCAUCAAAAACAUGCUGUAUGAAAAACGAAUAAAAUAACUGUUGAUUUUGAAAUUAAAAUGACACAUGGAGAUCCUGACAGCUCUCUUUAAACUCUUAAACAUUACUUCACUGAAAUCAGAAACAAAGCAAAGGAUGACCUGCAUCAAUGGUAUUAUUUUGCAAUUUUCUGGAAGUUUUAUAAAAUACAAUAAGACAACAAAAGGAGAAAACUUUUUUUUCUCUUUGUUGAUAUUAUUGUAAGUCUAGAACUUACAAGAGGCUCCAGUUAAAACCCAUUUUAUUUUGACAAAGUGUCUGGAUGUGAGAUAAAUAUACAAAAAUCAAUACAUUUUUUAAAUCAAGCACUCACUAGCUAGAAAAGGAAAAGAAAUAUUUUAUUCAUAAACAUGAUAAAAGCUAAACAUACUUAAAAUGCAUUAAACCUCAGAGACAUGGGACUUAUGUAAAGAAACCUAUAAAAUUGUGUUGAGUACCAAUCAAGAUAUCAAUAAAUGGGAAGAUCUAUUAUGUCUAUGUAUGGGAUAAUUUAAUGGCUUAAAAUAUCAAUUACAUCAAAAUUAUCAUAUUAAUGCAAUGUAAUUUUAAAUAGAAUCCCACAUUUUUGUUAAUUUUAUAAAAUAAUGCUAAUUUUAAUGUAAAAGAAUAAGUUUCCCCAAAUAGCCAAAUAGAGAAUAAUAGUGAAAAAUGACUUGGCUUGGCAGAUAUUAAAACAUACUAUGAAAUUACCAUAAAACAGUAGACAUGGAUGACAUGUGAAUAAAUAGAUCAGGGGAAAAUUAACCUUGAGAUAAGUUGCAUAAUAUAAGACAAUUGUGUAUAUAAUAAAAUGACAGUAACUAAAGCAUAGUUUUAUUUAAUAAAUCAUGCUGGCACAAUGGCCUAUCAUUUGGUAAAAAAAUAAUAAUAAAAUGGAGUCCAUUAACUUAUACUAUAUAUUAAAUUUCAGCUAGAUUAAAAUCUAAAUGUAAAGGAAAAAUGAGACAGUUAAAAUCCUAGGUUAUAAUUUAAAAUUAUAUGCAUUUGUCUAGAUAUGCAAAAUACCCAAAAGCUAUAAAAUUUUCUCCUAGCAAUCUAACUUGUCCUCAGUCUUACCCUGGCCCUCUGGUGGAGGAGGAAGGGUACACAGAAAUCACAUUUAACAAAUGGAGGAUCCUGAGUCUAAGAAGAUAUCAGGUAUAGGGCUGUCACCACCAAUGCCUGCAGAGAAUUGCUACAAUCAACAAUUAGAAGGUGCUUUGGUCCCAAAUCUUAUCUGGUUUCUCAUCGCGUUUGCUAGUUUUCAGCCAAGGAAAGAAUUUCCUGUAUUAUUAUUUGUACUGAUUAUCUCCUGGUCCAUCUUAUCUACAAAUGCUACGUUUUUUUUUGUUUUUUUGUUUUUUUGUUUUUCCAAGGAGGAAGAACAAAACAACUGAAGUGAAUAUACUUCUUAGCAAGGUGACACACAGUCGCUGUUCCAAUACACAGCCUGGUGAGUUUGGAGAAAAUGGAAGUGAAAGCAUCAGAGAAAGACAGGGAUGACAACUCACGUUUAUUGUUUACCUACUAUGUGCAAAGUACUUUCAACAUCUCAACUAAGAGACAACCAGAGCCCUGUGCUGAGUACCUGUGAUGCUUAAGCCACUCAAGCCUCACAAUAACCCUUGAGGUAACGGAACCAAAACUCAAGAGAGGUUAAGUGAUGCACCCAAUAUCCACCCGGUUGUAGAAGGAACUCACACCCAAGGUUGCCUAACUCCAGUUUCUAUGCACUGUGCAUUCUGCAGAGGAUGAGCAGGGACACCAAACCAAGGUCAACUUCCCUUUGGAAAAACUGGCAGUGGCUGCAGGCUGGCCUGCUGCAUAUUCAUUGCUUUGGGCCUCAUCUAGGAAUACCUGCUGCUGACUUCAGCCUCUGAUCUAAAUCCCCUCUCAGCUUCCAGUUCCGCCCAGCACCAAAUGAUGCUAGGAGGCCUAUGCCCUAGCAGCAGGUAGAGGUCAGUGUUUACAGAAGGAAGGAUUAAUUUCAAGACCCAGUGGGGUGCCCCUGGAUAUAAUCCCUGCUUCCUACAAAGCUGGGAGUCUACAUGCUGUUUAGGACAAGGAGUGCCCAGUGGGGUGUGGACCGAGGAGUUGAUCCACAGGCUGUGUUUUCAAUAAUAAUAGGAAGAGUGAUCAAAGCUGGCAUCCUGGAGUGCCCAUCCCAUGCUGAGCCUUGGUCAAGGGGCAUCACAUAUGUUAUUUGACUUAAUCCUCAUGACAACCCCAGAAGGUGGGGCUUAUUGCAUUUACUUUGCAGAUGAAGGAACUCAAGCUCAGCUGAUCAAUGCAACAUGCUGUGCAAGUCUGUGGGACUCCGAAGUCGAAGUCGAUGCUCUUUUACCUACUGGGCUCAGGAAUGCAGUCUCCAGGUGUCAAACCUAGAUCUUUAUCCUCUUCAGCUUGAGAUGGUGCAAAAGCUACUGUCUCAGGUGUUUGAAAUGACUCAACAGAACUGGUUGAAAAUAAACAUUUCAGGCAAAAAAUAGUUAGAUCUGUAUGGCAUCAAACAAGCAGUCUGACAGUCACCAUUCAUUCAUUCAUCUAUUCAUUCAUCCAUCCGACCAUCCAUUCAUCCAAAGAUCUAUCCAUCCAUCCAAUGAAUGAAUUAUUCAUUUAAAGAAAUAAUCAUCAUUGCCUGAGUGUACCCUGUGAGCCAGGCCCUAUAAUAAUUCUGGGGAGGGAAAGCACAAAAAUAACUAAGAUCCAGUCUCUGUUCAUUUACAGGAGUUAACACUGGAGUGAUGUCAUGUCUCUGAGUGUGUUGAUGGGAGUAAGCUAUGGAAAAGAAGGCAGAUGAAGACCCAGGCCAAAGGACCACUCAAGGUCAGGGAGCAGAUGUGUCAUCUAACUGGACAUUGAUAAGUCUGUGUCCCUUGAUAGUCUCCAUUUUUUUUUCCUCCAGCCCACUGCCCUCACUGAUGCCAAAGCUGUCCUUCUCCAAAAUUUGGGUCAGGGAAUAGCUGUCACAAGCUGGCACAACACAGGUAAUUUGUGAAUUUGUGAAGCAUUCUCAAUCUGAACUGUCCUUCUGCAAGGGGUGUGCACUAGGAGGUACUGGGUGCACUGGGGCUGUUCAAGGAGACCCUGAUGACCGUCUCCAAGGGACAAGAUUUUCUCCUUCAACAAACUUCGGCUAGCAUCCUCUGAGCUCCAUUUUUCAGUAGGCUUGCCUUGGGGCUCUGUCCUUGACCCAUUUAGUCUAGUUUUAGCAAGAAUCCUGCUUGGUCAGUUUAGUGAAAAUCCUCCACCCUUGAUAUGUGAUCAAAUUCCUUAUCCCCCAUCCUUGAUAUCCAAUCACCCUGUCCCACCCUCAACAAGAAUCCUGCUGAGUCCGUUUAGCCAGAAUCCCCCUUAUUCAUGAUCCUUCAUUGACCCCUCACCUUGCUCCUUGGCCACAAAUCUCCACUUCUCUCUGCUGUAGCCAUAAUAAAGCCCAAUUCUACACUGAAGUCUCUCUUCCCCUAUUGCAAUAGUUCCCAAAUCAAAACUGCCUUCACCACUUCAACCUCUGUCCAGUUCUGGUUUCCUCUGACACACAGAUGCCAUAAAAGAAAGGUCCCCAGUGGAAAAGAACAUUCAUUUGUUCAUUCAAAAACAUCACUAGACCUCAUGGACAUAGAGAGUAGAAGGAGGUUACCAGAGGCUGGGAAGGGUAGUGGUGGAGCUGUUGUGGGGGUAUGGUGGGGCUGUUGUGGGGAUAAGGUGGGGAUGGUUAAUGGGCACCAAAAAUAGUUAGAAGGAAUGAAAAAUACCUAGUAUUUGAGAGCACCAUAGAAUGACUAUAGUCAUGAUAAAUUAAUUGUACAUUUUAAAAUAACUUAAAGAGGGUAAUUGGAUUGUUUGUAACUUGAAGGAUAAAUGCUUGAGGGGUUGGAUACCCCAUCCUCCACAAUGUGUAAUAAACAUACUGCAUGCUUUUAUCAAAACAUCUCUUUUACCCCAUAAAUACGUACACCUACUAUGUACCCACAAAAACUAAAAAUACUUUUUUAAAAAAUGCAUUACCAGAUGACACUUGCUCCAAAAAGCAGUGCAACCCAGCUGUUCUGCAUCUAAGGGGGUAUUAAAUAUCAUCUACAAAGUCCCUGGGCUGACUGUUAGUUCAAUGCUAUCAUCCUCAGACUCCACAAUUCAUGAAUUGGCAAGAUAUUAAGUCUUGCUUUCCUUCAGUCUCCUCAUCUGUAAAAUAAGCCUAACCACAGCAUUGCUGCACAGAGCCAUGGAAGUCAGGUCAGGUGAUGAGCGUCAGUGCUCCUUACAGUGAUGACACCACUGUAAGUGCUCAGUAGGUACCACGAUGGUGACGACUGUAGCAGCCAUCAGUACUAGACAUAAGAAAAGAAACUAGGUGAUAGUGGCAUUUAGUAUCAGAGUCAAAGAACAUUUUAUGGAAUGCCUGGAGUUUUACACCAUACCUAAACUCAAGAAUCAAUACAAGUAAUUAGAACAAGGGGGUACAGACUGAUCAACAGUGUGAGAAUGCAGCAACAGGAGAAAUUAUUUCCAGCUUGGGGGAUGAGAGAUGUUCAAGGAAAGCAGUGAUGCGGGGACCAUGUAUGACCGGAAUUUAUACAUGAAGAGAGAUCCAGAGGGCAUUUCAAGAGGAGAACACACACAGGGGAAGAUGCAUGGCCCCAGCACAUUACAAAGCUAACACCAGCCAACAACUUCAUCCAGAAGCCUAAAAUCCAAAAUGCUCUGGAAAAAAAAAUUAUAUAUAACUAGUUUUUGUCCCUAACCAGAGCUGUUCUGAUUUAAACAUGUAUACAAAUUUUAUUUUCCCAUUUUUUAUUUUGUAUGAUGUUUUAUUUUCCCAUUUUGAAUGACCAUGUUUCAUGGCAGAAUAUACAAGAGUCUGGUUGUGGGCUGUUGCCUCAGAAUCAGGUCAGUAGCUGUUGCACCGUCUCAAGCUGAAGAAGGAUAAAGACCUGGGUUUGACACCUUAAGACUGUCGGAGCUGUUCCGUAUUAUAUGGUGCAUGUACCUCAUUGACUUUCUAAAGUAGGAAUAGUUCAAACUUUCAAAACAUGUCUGGGUUAAAAUAAGAAGAUAUGAAUGUAUAUUAAUACCACCUAAUAUUUACUAAGCACUUAUAUUCCAGGCACUUCUCAAAGCACUUAACCAAAUUAAUCCUCCUGAUGGAGGUAGGCACUGGUAUUACCUUUUUUUUUGCAUAGAUCAUGAAACUGAUGUACCAGAAGAUUAAUUAUUUGCCCAUACCUGCACAGCUGGGAAGUUUUAAAGCCAGGACUCAAAGCCACAAAGCAUUGCCUCAAAGCCUGCACUCCUAAAUAUUACACUUGACCACCCACAUAUACUAUGAUUUAAGUAAGAGCAAGUGCAAUUGGUUGUAUCAUUAAUUCAAAAUUCUUCCAUCCUUCCUCUCUUUUUCCAAAAACACUGUACUUCCCACUGCACUGAAACAGGGCUUGCUUUAGCCAAUGAAACGCUAACAAAGGUGACGUGAGCAGAAACUAUAAAUGGGCAUUUGUGGUUUGGCUUAGCUGUUCAUACUUGUGAUUUUGCGUUUAAAAAAAAAUAAAACUAAAAAUGACCUGGGUGACUGCAUGGAUUCCAGAAUAAGAAACAAAUAAAUGAGACCUGAACGCAGUCCACAAUCAGAAGCAGCACUUCCUGAGCCAACUCACAGACUCGUGAAGGAGAAAAAAUGAAUGCUUGUGUGGGCCACUGAGAUUUGGAGUUUUUGUGGGGGUUGUUACACAGCAUUAUCAGAGCAAUCAUUGAUUAAUACAACAAGUUGUUAGACUUGCUGGGCAUGACAUGGAUAAUGGAGCAUUUUCUGAGAUGAGGAUUUAAAGUUAACAUUAGCCAUAUUGGGUCAUGUCCUAAAAACAAUGUUAAAGAUUUUUAAUUUCAUCCUGAUAGCAAUGGAAAGCCUUCAAAUGCUUUUAUGGAGUACCAUGAAAUGAUAUGCCUUUGAUUUCCUACGUUGCAAUCAGAUUCAUCUUUUCAAAAUAUAAAUGGAGUCAUUACCUCCAUUCCCCAUCACCACACACACUUGCUUAAUACCUUUCUAAUGUAUUCCAUUGUUCUUAGGACAAAACCCCAAACCCUUCACAGAAUCCAAGGCCCCUCUGCUCAGCUCCCCAACCACAUUGGGACAUUGGGUGUUAUGCUUUCCCUUGCCUGCUGCUCCCAGUCACACUGCCGUUCAGUUCCUUGAGUGUGCACUACCUUGUUGCCACAGGACUUUUGCACCUGCCUUCCUUGCUGCUAGAAGUGAUUUUUUUUUCCACUAACUCUUUGCCUACUUACCUCUCACUUGCAUUGUAACUUCCUCCCAGAAGCCUUUCCCGAUCUGUUUGGUUAAGUAAAUUGCCCCUGUUACCUAUGCUCUUCGCACCAUACACUUCUGUUACAUUUCACUUAGGGCACUUGCAAUUUCACAUUUGUGCAUAAAAUUUGAUUUGCAUCCAUGUCUGCCACUAAAUCGUCUGCUUCCUGAGAGCAGCUACAGGAUCCUUUUCUCCCCUUGUCUUUGUAUCCACGGCAUUUGCACACUCCCUGGCGCAUUGCUGAUGCUCAGUGAAACCUGUGGAGUGAAAGGAUGCUGUGGGAUGACAGCUUAGAUAGCAGAGAGGACAAUGGAUUAUUCUGGUUGCCCAAAGCACACAAGAACAUAACUAAUCCUUCUUCCUUACAUCAGCCCUUUCAACUCCCCCUUGAUUUCUCUGAGACUUUGCCAAGACAGAUCUCUCACAAAGCAGCAGUGUGGUGUGAAUGCAUUAUCAAUCUGUUACUACCCACCAGGAAAUAUGACCUUAACACACUGCAAUAUGGCCAAUCUCUGUGACAAGUGUUCAUCCCGUGUCCCUCAACAUCUGCACUGUAAUUUUACAAUCCAAAAGCCUCCUGUAAUUGGAAGAGGAUGAAAACAUCUGGAUGUUGCAAACUCUCUCGACAGGUUGUCUAUACCAUCACCUUCAAAAUCGAUGCACAAGAAAUGAGAGUUUCUUGAACGGCAGAAAGAGUGGCUGGCGGCAGAACAUACUGUUUAAGCCUCUUCAUAGUAUUAAGCAAAGACUGUCUGGAUUUCCUUUGGGAGUGACUAGAAUUGGGAUCUGGUAACAAAAGGGACCAUGGGUAGGACAGAAUGAUCACUUCAUUUUGAAUGGGUGCUAGGGAAAAAGGGAAUCCAUCAUUCAUGUAAUAUUUGUGAAAUGAAAAAGUGAAUUCAGUAAAUAAUCAAUAAGCUAAGUUCAUUUUGGUCAAAAGAUGGAAGCCUGUAUCUGAAUGAAAGUGGAAUGGAAUGGUGGGUUGUUACACAUGGGCAUGAUGGCAACAUGGAGAAACUGAGGUUUGGAAAAUGGGCAGUAGGCAAGUAGAGUGCCAAGGUAUAUGAUCUCAUUUCAUUACAAUCCCAAAAUCAACUGCAGUGGUAUCACAGACUGAAUAAAUUUUGCAGCACAGAAAAACCAAGUUGUUGAUAACAAAAGUUGGCGAAGACAUUGCAGGAGUAGAAAUUGUACUGACUGCUUUGAGAAGCACCUUGGCAUUAUCUUUUAAAAAUUAUGACACAUAUUUACUGUGAUGCAGCAAUUACUAUUUUCAGAGUAUACCAAAGGAAACACCCAGGUACAAAAGAAGGUGUAUAAUGAGAAGUUAACUACAGUGUGUUCAUCAUGGCAAAAGCCUGGGAACCAAAUUCGGUACUAGUGGACUGACUAAAUAAACUCUGGUGUAGUCAUCUAUGGAACAUUAUGCAAUCACGAAAAAUGCAUUAACAUGUAAAUACUUCCAAGAUACAUUAUUGAGAAAGGGGGGGAAAAGCAAUUUAUCAAAUUACAUGGCUAGUAUAACUUUCUUAAGUACACACACUCAAUAUGAACAAUAAUAUACAAUAUACACAAUAAUUAUAUUGUAUGUGGUGCAUUUUCGGCAGCCAUAUAUUUGCCAGCAGGUAGGA